GCCGAAAUGGUUCAGUUGGGAAAGCGUUAGACUGAAGAUCUAAAGGUCCCUGGUUAGAUCCCUGGUUUCGGCA